GAUCCACUUGCACAAUCCUGUUGAUGGCAAGUACACAUCAGCAAUAUGAAAAAUGAUCUAUAUAACAUUUGCACUUUCCUACUUAUUCUAUGUUAUCAAUAGUAGCAUGAAAAUAAAUACUAAACAAGGAAAUUUUCAAACCUAUGAUAAGAAAUUUACUAUCCUAAAUUAUUCAUUCAUAGAGGAACUUGCAGUAAAUAGCUAUCGACAAGCAAGCAAUGAAAUCAUGCAAGUCUUAAAUUCAAGCAAUGUCAGCCACAUGAAAAAUAAUUGUCCCUUUUAAUCUCUAAAAAGAAAGAAAAAGGUAUGCACUGUGAACUAAACAUAUUGCACGCUAUAUUCACCCUUCUCCAUUUUUCAGUUCAGGCAGUACCUUCUGUAUGUGUCUGAGUGU
rnacentral:misc_RNA from 1 species